rnacentral:rRNA from 1 species
GACGAACGCUGGCGGCGUGCCUAAUACAUGCAAGUAGAACGCACAGUUUAUACCGUAGCUUGCUACACCAUACACUGUGAGUUGCGAACGGGUGAGUAACGCGUAGGUAACCUGCCUGGUAGCGGGGGAUAACUAUUGGAAACGAUAGCUAAUACCGCAUAAUAUUAAUUAUUGCAUGAUAAUUGAUUGAAAGAUGCAAUUGUAUCACUACCAGAUGGACCUGCGUUGUAUUAGCUAGUAGGUGAGGUAACGGCUCACCUAGGCGACGAUACAUAGCCGACCUGAGAGGGUGAUCGGCCACACUGGGACUGAGACACGGCCCAGACUCCUACGGGAGGCAGCAGUAGGGAAUCUUCGGCAAUGGACGAAAGUCUGACCGAGCAACGCCGCGUGAGUGAAGAAGGUUUUCGGAUCGUAAAGCUCUGUUGUAAGAGAAGAACGGGUGUGAGAGUGGAAAGUUCACACUGUGACGGUAUCUUACCAGAAAGGGACGGCUAACUACGUG